UUUCCGUAGGUGAACCUGCGGAAGGAUCAUUAAAAAAUUGGACUCCAUUGGUGAGUUCAUUAAUAAUCCCUACCCUUUGUGAAUUUGUUUGUUUGAAUAAUUUUUUUUCCAAAAAAAAAUUAUUGAAUGUCUUUCCCUGUUUUGGUGGAGCUUGUAAAGUGAAACCAGGCAGGGGAAUGGCAAACAAUAAUUAUUUUUGAAAAAAGACCUUUUUUUAAAAUUAAACUUUUUGUAUUCAUUUGUCUAAAAUUAUUUUUAUAAUAUAAAAACAACUUUUGACAAUGGAUCUCUUGGUUCUCGCAACGAUGAAGAACGCAGCAAAAUGCGAUAAGUAGUGUGAAUUGCAGAAUACGUGAAUCAUCGAAUCUUCGAACGCAUAUUGCACUUUUUUAGUUUACUAAAAAAGUAUGUCUGUUUGAGUAUCAGUAAAAUAUUCUCAUAAAAAACAUUGUUUUUUUAUGGUUAUGAGUGUUUUACAACGAUAACAAGUUGUUUCACUUUAAAUUCUCUGUUAUCAAGAAAAUCAUUAAAAGCUAAUUUUAAAGAUUUUUUAAAAUUGGAUAAAAUUUUCCCGUAAAAAGGAAUAACCUAAACAAUUUUAAAAAAUUAAAAUUGGUUUGAUUUUUUUUGAAACCCAAAGGAAAAAAAAACGAAAUUAACUUGAUCUCAAAUCAGAUAAGAGUACCCGCUGAACUUAAGCAUAUCAAUAAGCGGAGGAAAAGAAACUAACUAGGAUUCCCUCAGUAACGGCGAGUGAAGCGGGAAGAGCUCAAAUUUGAAAUCUUCAAGGUUUUACCUUGACGAAUUGUAGUUUAAAGAAGUGUUUUCUGUUGGAGUUUUGGUAAAAGUUCUUUGGAAAAGGACAUCAUAGAGGGUGAGAAUCCCGUAUUUGACCAUUAUCUCCAGCUUUGUGAUACACUUUCAAAGAGUCGGAUUGUUUGGGAAUGCAGUCCAAAAUGGGUGGUAAAUUUCAUCUAAAGCUAAAUACUGGCGAGAGACCGAUAGCGAACAAGUACCGUGAGGGAAAGAUGAAAAGAACUUUGAAAAGAGAGUUAAACAGUACGUGAAAUUGUCAAAAGGGAAGCGUUUGACACCAGUGUUGUUUUCUCGAAAAUCAAUUAAAAAAGGCCGGAUUUUGUGUUGUAUUGACUUUAUCAGCUUUCUGCACUUUUUUCUUGUCUUUUUUAAUGCACUUUUCGUUUAACAAGUCAACAUCAAUUUCUUUUGUUGUAAAAGGGUCAUUGGAAGGUGGCUUUCUUUUCGGAGAAAGUGUUUAUAGCCUUUGGCCUCUGCAAUCGGAGAGAUUGAGGUCUGCAGCGUAGAUCCUUCGGGGUUAGGUACAUUUGUGCUAAGUUAUAGCCUUUCAUAGACAACUUGUUGACUAUGAUCAGUCAUGUAGCUUACUCGCUUAUGCUAUUUUACCUACGCUUAGGAUGUUGAA
rnacentral:misc_RNA from 1 species